rnacentral:lncRNA from 1 species
CCGGGAGUAUUCCAGAGUAUCGAUUUUCCACAGAGAACGUGAGUGUACUAAUUAAGAUCCAAGAUCGCCCAAGGAUAACUAUAUGAUUAUUUUUGGUGGGAUGAGAGGAAGUUUCUAGAGAGUUCUCUAGUUGAUCUAAGAAUCAAGAAUUACUUCAAGAUUAUUUAUUUCGGGACAUCAGAACACUAACCACAGAAAGAGAUGAGAAGGGGGCUAGGAAGGUGUGACUACGGUCCUACAAACACCAAUCCGAACGUGGUGGAAUACGUCGACCGUUAGGGCUGUCACUACCCUAGGGCUACCACAACAAUCCGUAGGAUAGGGUGCAAUUCCAGGUAAUUGCAAGACUAAACACCACGUCUAAUCUAAUAAUUACUACUCUAGCGUUAUAAAGACUAGAGCACUUGAUGCAAGCGGGAAUCCAAUAAAUAACUUGAAUGUAAAUAAAAGUAAUUAGAGAACUCAGUAAACCCGACGUGUGGGCCUUUCUUCCAUAUUUCCUGAUAACCCCCUGCAGAAAUAGACAAACACCAAAACUUGUGGAAUUCUAUCAGAUAAAACCCUAAGUCUAGGUGUUGGUUGCAUUUGGAUUCUUUUUCAUGAUUAGUUGAUGAUUAAAUGUGAGCAUUAAGGACCGUCAACAAGCUCCCCCAAGCUUAAUCUUUGCUCGUCCCUGAGCAAAGAUGAACUCAAGAGUUUCUGCAGUGGUUUCAUAACUUAAAGAUACAUAUGCGUUUAAACAAGAUCUCAUCUCUGGUUAGAGUAAACUGUUAAGACUUAAAACUUACUCAUUUACCUUUCACCAUGGGACUUGUAACCGUCACUUCUGUCUUGAGUAGUUAAAAGAUAGAACAGUCUAGUCAAGCACCAUGUCUCUUGUUCUUCGAUUAACUAUAGCUCUGGAGUUUUUGCAGAUUUUCAAAUAAAACUCAGAGAUUCCUUGUAUGACUCUCUCUAGUCUCUCUUUUGUGGUAUUUCUGGAUCCUUACCAAGGCAUUAAUGGUGUAUGCCUUAUCUCAAAGUAUGUGGUAUUUGUGGUAUAAGGCAUAGUGGCAUUGCCUUCUCUCUCACCCUAUUCUAAUAAGGCUUUUGAUAUCUGGAGCUCAUAGGUAGGAGACAGCUAAUACAUACUUACAAGACAUUUAUUGCAUAGUCAAACCAUGGAUCCAGAAGAACAAGUCAAUAAGUCAAAUCAAGAUGUGCAUGUGUGGCGAAUGAAUGGUGCAUGGUAAUGAUGGUGAUAACAAUGGUGAAACUCUAAUUCUACUUGUGCUCUUUUGAGGGGAUACAUACCUUUCUUGCUCUUUUGAAACUUUUUGAGGAGAAUGAGAUGCUCUAUAUAUUUUUUUUCUUUUUCUUCUCUCAGGUGGGUAUCUUGUACCCGUAAUUCUACUGUCGGACACUUGUCCAUUUUACCUCUCGUCUCACUUUUUUUUCUUUCAAGGUUCCGGGCACUUGCCCCUUUUUAUUUCCUCGUAUUUUUUUUCUCUCUUUUUUUUAUAUUAGAGCACACAUCUCCUGAAAUAAUAUAGCAAGUGGUAGUAACCAAGAUAACUUGAGCAUUUAUUUCACAGGGGAAAAACAGAAAUGUUUUUGGCUAUUCUCUCCCGGAUUAGGAAUAGAAUAUUUUUGGGUGGUUCUGGAGAUGGAAAUGGGUGGAUAUAUGUGGAUGCGCACUUCCGGAGUAGAAGCAGCAUGUAUGAGUGAACGUGCAAGUGAAUCUUGACUUAACCACAUGACAAGCUCCUAAGGGUCUACAGCUUGACCACACUCAAUGCUCAUAGGCAGUAAAAAGUAAAUGUGUGGCUCAAAGUCUAGCAAGCAUGUAUAUAUGGCUAUGGUAGGAAUUUAAACUCUCAUCAUACAGGAACUCAUCAUGCAACAUUUUAAAGAUUUUCAAAAAUAAAAUUCUCCAGAAUUCUAGCAUCUCUAGGAACAGAUAAACAAAAGCUCAACCUUCCCAUAUCAUAUCCGUUAACGACUUAGACUUCAGAUCAAGUACUCUUCCCACAAGUUUAGGUUUAGAGCAAAUCUUAAUUAAUAACAGUCAUGCCUAAACUUGAGAGAGAUUUCAAUUUUGAGAACUAGUCAUGGCAGAGCAACUAUUCAUCAUUUCCAUAUGAGAGCUUAUCAUGAUGGUUCAUAGCAGACUUUAUUUAUUUAUUUAUUUAGCAAACUAAGCAAAGAUAUAUAUAAGCACAAAAUCUUUAUUUGGGUUUCUAUGAUUAUGCAUCUUUUUAUUAUUAGAGUAAAGUAUAAACGCGAGUAGAAACACUUAGCUGGAUAAAUGGGGGUGCUCUCCCCCAAGCUGGAUUUUGACGAAGUUUCUUCUGAUGUAGCUAGCAGGUGGCGGAGGUGUAUUUGAAUGUCUGCAGCACUCUGACAGCGAGUAGGAUGUCCUCCGUCUGCUAGUCUUCUUUGAUCCUUGAAUUCUGUGGAGCUCAAAUAGACAACAAAGCUUUGUGGAACUAGUUAAGUGUUAGCAUAAAUAUCUAGCCUUUAUCGUGUUGAGCCUCCUCAAUAAAUGUUACUCUUUUUAGUACGAUCAUAAAUUUAUUUCUAUAAUUUUAUUUUUAUAGGACAGGAAUAUAUAUAUAUUAUUUUUUAUGGCACCACAGUG